CGGAGGAGCUAGCGUUAUUCGGAAUUACUGGGCGUAAAGCGCACGUAGGCGGCUUUGUAAGUUAGAGGUGAAAGCCCAGAGCUCAACUCUGGAAUUGCCUUUGAUACUGCAUCGCUUGAAUCCAGGAGAGGUGAGUGGAAUUCCGAGUGUAGAGGUGAAAUUCGUAGAUAUUCGGAAGACACCAGUGGCGAAGGCGGCUCACUGGACUGGUAUUGACGCUGAGGUGCGAAAGCGUGGGAGCAAACAGGAUU
rnacentral:rRNA from 1 species